rnacentral:lncRNA from 1 species
UUGGUUUGAGGUAACAGAAAAGGAAAACGUAAAAGUUUGGCCUUUUUAAAUUUGUAUUUUUUUUUUUUAUCUACCUAAACUAAACUGAUACUAAAAAGAUUUGACACUAAUAAUAGUUAAUUAGAAGAUACGAGACAAGUAAUAUUCCCAAAUCAAGCAAUCCUAAUAUUAUUAAUUAGCUUACACACACAACCUCUGUCGUUUUCCCAUGU